rnacentral:rRNA from 1 species
UGAGGAAUAUUGCGCAAUGGGGGAAACCCUGACGCAGCAACGCCGUGUGAGUGAUGAAGGCCUUCGGGUCGUAAAGCUCUGUUUGGAGGGAAGAAAAGGUCGUGGUAAAUAAUCACGACUCCUGACGGUACCUCCAGAGGAAGCACCGGCCAACUCCGUGCCAGCAGCCGCGGUAAUACGGAGGGUGCAAGCGUUGUUCGGAAUUACUGGGCGUAAAGAGCGUGUAGGCGGCCAGUCAAGUCAGAUGUGAAAUCCCUGGGCUUAACCCAGGAACUGCAUCUGAAACUGGUUGGCUAGAGUACGGGAGAGGAAGGUGGAAUUCCUGGUGUAGAGGUGAAAUUCGUAGAUAUCGGGAAGAACACCGGUGGCGAAGGCGGCCUUCUGGCCCGAUACUGACGCUGAGACGCGAAAGCGUGGGGAGCAAACA